GAUGAACGCUGGCGGCGUGCCUAAUACAUGCAAGUCGAGCGAACGGACGAGAAGCUUGCUUCUCUGAUGUUAGCGGCGGACGGGUAAGUAACACGUGGAUAACCUACCUAUAAGACUGGGAUAACUUCGGGAAACCGGAGCUAAUACCGGAUAAUAUUUUGAACCGCAUGGUUCAAAAGUGAAAGACGGUCUUGCUGUCACUUAUAGAUGGAUCCGCGCUGCAUUAGCUAGUUGGUAAGGUAACGGCUUACCAAGGCAACGAUGCAUAGCCGACCUGAGAGGGUGAUCGGCCACACUGGAACUGAGACACGGUCCAGACUCCUACGGGAGGCAGCAGUAGGGAAUCUUCCGCAAUGGGCGAAAGCCUGACGGAGCAACGCCGCGUGAGUGAUGAAGGUCUUCGGAUCGUAAAACUCUGUUAUUAGGGAAGAACAUAUGUGUAAGUAACUGUGCACAUCUUGACGGUACCUAAUCAGAGAGCCACGGCUAACUACGUG
rnacentral:rRNA from 1 species